CCUACGGGAGGCAGCAGUAGGGAAUAUUGCUCAAUGGGGGAAACCCUGAAGCAGCAACGCCGCGUGAAGGAAGAAGGCUUUCGGGUUGUAAACUUCUUUUAAGAGGGAAGAGCAGAAGACGGUACCUCUUGAAUAAGCCACGGCUAACUACGUGCCAGCAGCCGCGGUAAUACGUAGGUGGCAAGCGUUGUCCGGAUUUACUGGGUGUAAAGGGAGUGCAGCCGGGCUGACAAGUCAGAUGUGAAAUCCCGUGGCUCAACCACGGAACUGCAUUUGAAACUGUCGGUCUUGAGUAUCGGAGAGGCAGGCGGAAUUCCUAGUGUAGCGGUAAAAUCCGUAGAGAUCAAGAGGAAUACUCAUUGCGAAGGCGACCUGCUAGAACAUAACUGACGCUGAUGCGCGAAAGCGUGGGGAGCAAACAGGAUUAGAUACCCCUGUAGUC
rnacentral:rRNA from 1 species